GCAUGGCUGGCUCAUUUUGUAGAGCAUGAGACUCUUGAUCUCAGGGUUGUGAGUUCAAGCCCCACGUUGGGCA
rnacentral:tRNA from 1 species